UGAGGAAUAUUGGUCAAUGGGCGUAAGCCUGAACCAGCCAAGUAGCGUGCAGGAAGACGGCCCUACGGGUUGUAAACUGCUUUUAUGCGGGGAUAAAGUGCAAUACGUGUAUUGCUUUGCAGGUACCGCAUGAAUAAGGACCGGCUAAUUCCGUGCCAGCAGCCGCGGUAAUACGGAAGUCCGGCGUAUCGAUUAUGGUUAAGGAGCGCAGGCCGCCCCUUAAGCGUGUUGUGAAAUGCCGCGGCUCAACCGUGGCACUGCAGCGCGAACUGGGGGGUCUUGAGUGCGCCGGAGGUAGGCGGAAUUCGUGGUGUAGCGGUGAAAUGCUUAGAUAUCACGAAGAACUCCGAUUGCGAAGGCAGCCUACCGUAGCGUUACUGACGCUGAGGCUCGAAGGUGCGGGUAUCGAACAGGAUUAGAUACCC
rnacentral:rRNA from 1 species